UACGUAGGGUGCGAGCGUUAAUCGGAAUUACUGGGCGUAAAGUGUGCGCAGGCGGCCGAGCAAGUCGAGUGUGAAAGCCCCGAGCUUAACUUGGGAACUGCGCUCGAAACUACUUGGCUAGAGUGUGGCAGAGGGAGGUGGAAUUCCGACGUGUAGCGGUGAAAUGCGUAGAGAUGUGGAGGAACACCGAUGGCGAAGGCAGCCUCCGUGGGCCAACACUGACGCUCAUGCACGAAAGCGUGGGGAGCAAACAGG
rnacentral:rRNA from 1 species